CCAUCUCUUCUUCUUCAACAUCAGAACUACAUUUUCCGGAUUCAAAGUGUUUAUUUCAAUCGGCGGCGUUGAAUAUACGAGAUGGUACGUUGUCUCCGGAUGUAAGAGAGCCUUUUUUAAACGAGUUAAGAGGAAUGAAUAUAAUCAAAUCAAACUGAAGGAUUAAUAAUUGGUUAAAUUAUGAGCUAUUCCGGUUUGGUUAAGUCCCACCGUUAUAUUCAUCUCCUCUGAAUUAAUCAAAUAG